ACUUCUUCUGAAGAGAGCGUCGUAAUUGUUGGUCUCGGUCUCAACUAGGAAUGCCUUGUACGGGUCUUUGGUUCAACAAACCACCCGGAAUACGUCCCUGCCCUUUGUACACACCGCCCGUCGCUACUACCGAUUGAAUGGUUUAGUGAGGCCUUCUGACUGGCGC
rnacentral:rRNA from 1 species